rnacentral:rRNA from 1 species
AAAGAUUUAUCGGCAAAGGAUCGGCCCGCGUUGGAUUAGGUAGUUGGUGGGGUAAUGGCCUACCAAGCCGACGAUCCAUAGCUGGUUUGAGAGGAUGAUCAGCCACACUGGGACUGAGACACGGCCCAGACUCCUACGGGAGGCAGCAGUGGGGAAUCUUAGACAAUGGGCGCAAGCCUGAUCUAGCCAUGCCGCGUGAGCGAUGAAGGCCUUAGGGUUGUAGAGCUCUUUCGUGGGGGAAGAUAAUGAC